rnacentral:rRNA from 1 species
GAUGAACGCUGGCGGCGUGCCUAAUACAUGCAAGUCGAGCGAACGGACGAGAAGCUUGCUUCUCUGAUGUUAGCGGCGGACGGGUGAGUAACACGUGGAUAACCUACCUAUAAGACUGGGAUAACUUCGGGAAACCGUAGCUAAUACCGGAAAAUAUUUUGAACCGCAUGGUUCAAAAGUGAAAGACGGUCUUGCUGUCACUUAUAGAUGGAUCCGCGCUGCAUUAGCUAGUUGGUAAGGUAACGGCUUACCAAGGCAACGAUGCAUAGCCGACCUAAGAGGGUGAUCGGCCACACUGGAACUGAGACACGGUCCAGACUCCUACGGGAGGCAGCAGUAGGGAAUCUUCCGCAAUGGGCGAAAGCCUGACGGAGCAACGCCGCGUGAGUGAUGAAGGUCUUCGGAUCGUAAAACUCUGUUAUUAGGGAAGAACAUAUGUGUAAGUAACUGUGCACAUCUUGACGGUACCUAAUCAGAAAGCCACGGCUAACUACGUG